rnacentral:rRNA from 1 species
AUUGAACGCUGGCGGCAUGCUUUACACAUGCAAGUCGAACGGUAACAGGCCUUCGGGUGCUGACGAGUGGCGAACGGGUGAGUAAUGCAUCGGAACGUGCCCAGAGGUGGGGGAUAACGCAGCGAAAGCUGUGCUAAUACCGCAUGUGAUCUGAGGAUGAAAGCGGGGGACCAAGCAGCAAUGUUUGGCCUCGCGCCUCUGGAGCGGCCGAUGUCAGAUUAGGUAGUUGGGGGGGUAAAGGCCUACCAAGCCGACGAUCUGUAGCUGGUCUGAGAGGACGACCAGCCACACUGGGACUGAGACACGGCCCAGACUCCUACGGGAGGCAGCAGUGGGGAAUUUUGGACAAUGGGCGCAAGCCUGAUCCAGCAAUGCCGCGUGCGGGAAGAAGGCCUUCGGGUUGUAAACCGCUUUUGUGCGGAACGAAAAGGCUCUGGCUAAUACCUGGGGCUGAUGACGGUACCGUAAGAAUAAGCACCGGCUAACUACGUG